rnacentral:lncRNA from 1 species
UGUCUUUGCUUCUGAAUCCAUGUAGCAAAGAGCAUGCAGAUAUAGACUGAAGGGAAGCAAAAGGAGUAGGAAAAGAAGAUGAAUGGAGGUAAGACACUGCAAAAAGAGCACAAGAACAUGGAGGUCAGACAGUUCAUUGGGAACCAGAGGGGAGUGCCUGCCCUUCACUGUGUGCAUGUGGGAGGCUGGCACCUUGGGAAAAUUUCAGCAGGAAUCCAGACUGGCCAGCUGUGGCACCACACAUUGUCCCCUGUGACAAGUCUCACUGGAAACAAGGGGGAGAGAGAUAAGUAUAUAGGUAAUCAAACUCGGGCAAAAUCAUAG